rnacentral:rRNA from 1 species
AUUGAACGCWGGCGGCAGGCUUAACACAUGCAAGUCGAGCGGGGAUAGGGUGNUUGCACUUGAUUCCUAGCGGCGGNCGGGUGAGUAAUGCUUAGGAAUCUGCCUAUUAGUGGGGGACAACGUUCCGAAAGGGACGSUAAUACCGCAUACGUCCUWCGGGAGAAAGCAGGGGAUCUUCGGWCCNUGCGCUAAUAGAUGAGCCUAAGUCGGAUUAGCUAGUUGGUGGGGUAAAGGCCUACCAAGGCGACGAUCUGUAGCUGGUUUGAGAGGACGRCCAGCCMCMCYGGGACUGAGACACGGCCCAGMCUCCUACGGGAGGCAGCAGUGGGGAAUUUUGGACAAUGGGGGAAACCCUGAUCCAGCCAUCCCGCGUGUGCGAUGAAGGCCUUCGGGUUGUAAAGCACUUUUGGCAGGGAAGAAAAGGUUMUGGCUAAUACCCGGA